UACGGGGGGAGCAAGCGUUGUUCGGAUUUACUGGGCGUAAAGGGCGCGUAGGCGGUCAGCACAAGUCAGUUGUGAAAUCUCCGGGCUUAACUCGGAAAGGUCAACUGAUACUGUGCGACUAGAGUGCAGAAGGGCAACUGGAAUUCUUGGUGUAGCGGUGAAAUGCGUAGAUAUCAAGAGGAACACCUGCGGCGAAGGCGGGUUGCUGGCCGACACUGACGCUGAGGCGCGAAAGCUAGGGGAGCGAACGGG
rnacentral:rRNA from 1 species